rnacentral:rRNA from 1 species
GCGUGCCUAAUACAUGCAAGUCGAGCGGACCGACGGGAGCUUGCUCCCUUAGGUCAGCGGCGGACGGGUGAGUAACACGUGGGUAACCUGCCUGUAAGACUGGGAUAACUCCGGGAAACCGGGGCUAAUACCGGAUGCUUGAUUGAACCGCAUGGUUCAAUCAUAAAAGGUGGCUUUCAGCUACCACUUACAGAUGGACCCGCGGCGCAUUAGCUAGUUGGUGAGGUAACGGCUCACCAAGGCGACGAUGCGUAGCCGACCUGAGAGGGUGAUCGGCCACACUGGGACUGAGACACGGCCCAGACUCCUACGGGAGGCAGCAGUAGGGAAUCUUCCGCAAUGGACGAAAGUCUGACGGAGCAACGCCGCGUGAGUGAUGAAGGUUUUCGGAUCGUAAAACUCUGUUGUUAGGGAAGAACAAGUACCGUUCGAAUAGGGCGGCACCUUGACGGUACCUAACCAGAAAGCCACGGCUAACUACGUGCCAGCAGCCGCGGUAAUACGUAGGUGGCAAGCGUUGUCCGGAAUUAUUGGGCGUAAAGCGCGCGCAGGCGGUUUCUUAAGUCUGAUGUGAAAGCCCCCGGCUCAACCGGGGAGGGUCAUUGGAAACUGGGGAACUUGAGUGCAGAAGAGGAGAGUGGAAUUCCACGUGUAGCGGUGAAAUGCGUAGAGAUGUGGAGGAACACCAGUGGCGAAGGCGACUCUCUGGUCUGUAAGCUGACGCUGAGGCGCGAA